rnacentral:lncRNA from 1 species
CAACAGUGCAGUAAAUGGUAGAAUUUGGAUCUUGUGGGAUCCUUCAAAACUUGUGGUGUCUGAUCAUAUAGAGGAGGCUCAGAUCAUUCAUUGUAAAGUCCAAUACAUCACUGGGGAGAUUAUCUGUUGGCUCUCAGUAAUCUAUGGUUUCAAUGAUUGUGAUCAAAGGAAGCUACUAUGGAGUUCUAUUGUGAAUCUAUCAUCUGGUAUUACUGAUCCU